rnacentral:rRNA from 1 species
UCUGUGAACUCCUACGGGAGGCAGCAGUGGGGAAUAUUGGACAAUGGGCGAAAGCCUGAUCCAGCAAUGCCGCGUGAGUGAUGAAGGCCUUAGGGUUGUAAAGCUCUUUUACCAGGGAUGAUAAUGACAGUACCUGGAGAAUAAGCUCCGGCUAACUCCGUGCCAGCAGCCGCGGUAAUACGGAGGGAGCUAGCGUUGUUCGGAAUUACUGGGCGUAAAGCGCACGUAGGCGGCUUUUUAAGUCAGGGGUGAAAUCCCGGAGCUCAACUCCGGAACUGCCCUUGAAACUGGGAAGCUAGAAUCUUGGAGAGGCGAGUGGAAUUCCGAGUGUAGAGGUGAAAUUCGUAGAUAUUCGGAAGAACACCAGUGGCGAAGGCGACUCGCUGGACAAGUAUUGACGCUGAGGUGCGAAAGCGUGGGGAGCAAACAGGAUUAGAAACCCCGGUAGUCCAUCAGCG